rnacentral:rRNA from 1 species
AACUAACGCUGGCGGCGUGCCUAAUACAUGCAAGUCGAACGCGAAAGUCCUUCGGGAUGAGUAGAGUGGCGCACGGGUGAGAAACACGUGGGUAAUCUGCCCAGAAGUGGGGAAUAACUCCUCGAAAGAGGAGCUAAUACCGCAUAAGACCACGACAACUAAGGUUGUUGGGGUUAAAGGUGACCUCUGUUUACAAGUUAUCGUUUCUGGAUGAGCCUGCGCAACAUUAGCCAGUUGGUGGGGUAAUGGCCUACCAAGGCUACGAUGUUUAGCGGGUCUGAGAGGAUGAUCAGCCACACUGGAACUGAGACACGGUCCAGACUCCUACGGGAGGCAGCAGUGGGGAAUAUUGCUCAAUGGGGGAAACCCCGAAGCAGCAACGCCGCGUGAGUGAUGAAGGCCUUCGGGUCGUAAAGCUCUGUUGUACGGGGAGAACGUGGGUAUGGCUAACAUCCAUAUCCAGUGACGGUACCGUAUAAGAAAGGGACGGCUAACUUCGUGCCAGCAGCCGCCGUAA